rnacentral:rRNA from 1 species
CCUACGGGAGGCAGCAGUGAGGAAUAUUGGUCAAUGGACGAGAGUCUGAACCAGCCAAGUAGCGUGAAGGAUGACUGCCCUAUGGGUUGUAAACUUCUUUUAUAUGGGAAUAAAACGUUCCACGUGUGGGAUUUUGUAUGUACCAUAUGAAUAAGGAUCGGCUAACUCCGUACCAGCAGCCGCGGUAAUACGGAGGAACCGAGCGUUAUCCGGAUUUAGUGGGGUUAAAGGGAGCGUAGGUGGAUUGUUAAGUCAGUUGUGAAAGUUUGCGGCUCAACCGUAAAAUUGCAGUUGAAACUGGCAGUCUUGAGUACAGUAGAGGUGGGCGGAAUUCGUGGUGUAGCGGUGAAAUGCUUAGAUAUCACGAAGAACUCCGAUUGCGAAGGCAGCUCACUGGACUGCAACUGACACUGAGGCUCGAAAGUGUGGGUAUCAAACAGGAUUAGAUACCCGUGUAGUC